rnacentral:lncRNA from 1 species
AUCAACACCUUUUCUAGAGAAUUAAGUAUGCAUUAGGUACAUCCUAUCUCAUACAUUGUAUGUAUUAUCAAGCACAUUAUCCUCAAACAUACAAUAUGUAGCACAUAUUGUGUCUCACACAUACAAUUUGUAUGUGUCCGAUUGACAGACGCAUUGUAUUUACAUGUACAAGUACAAUGUGUUUGUCAUGUACAAUGUGUCAUUUGACACACUGUACUUAAAGUGUGUCUAACACAUACUUUAAUGUGUCUGAUAUUACAUGUACAAGUACAAUGUGUUUGUCAUGUACAAUGUGUCAUCAGACACACUUUACUUAAAGUGUGUCUAACACAUACUUUAAUGUGUCUGACAUGUAUCAUAGGCAUUGUACUUAUUUUUAGCCAAAAUGUGUAUGAUACACCCGGAAGAAAAAAG